UCUAUUUUUACUAAAGGAUUUCAAAACAAUCCUUCCAAGAACUCCAGAGUUUCAAAUUUAGCAUGCUGGUCAUUUGAGACAAUUUUAAUAUUAGCUCACAGUGUAUACCUUUGUGCCAAAAGAUAAUUUUAUUUCCGUUGAAAUCCAGUGUUUAAAAACCACAAGGCAAAUCGUUUACUCACAACACAUAUAUGUUAAUGAUACGCACCAGUAGAGUGGCAACCUGGAGAAAAGACAUGGUGAAUGGUGGCUGAAAACAGGAAAGGAAUGCAGUGUCUGUGCCUCCAACUGUUCUGGUUUAAUUUACUUAUCAUUAGAAAACAACACAGACAAAACAUAGCCAGCGUUGACUAGUGGAAAUUAUGAUCAUAGAUGAACAUAGAUGAAUACAUUUGAUCAGGCCGUUUGCAGAGGGAGGCGCAUGCACUGAUUUUCCUGAGCAAUCGUAGCCAGCUUACUUUCUUCACUUUCCUAACGAACCCUUUGAAAUAGAGGACUUCAGAAGCAAUGGGAAAUGGGGCAGGGGCUUGGUCCCCGAAGAGAUGGCUCUGCUCUCUAUGCUAGCGGUUUUUACAAGAGUGCAGGGGAAAUGGGUAAUUGGCCCAGAGUCACACACUCCUGACUCACGAAGUUGCUGUGAUCACUCCUGGCUUCCCCCAAACAAGCACUUCUCUCUCUACUCACUGGAACAAACGGAAGUCUCCAACAGUGGUGAACAGGACCCCUUUCAUCUCGAGGCUUGGCUGAAGCAAGCAGCCAGUAUUCCUGACACACUGAGGUCUCUUGUCUGAUGUCCUCCCGUUGUUGGAUGAAGCUCUGCUUUGAAAAAACUGCCAGGAGCAGGGUAAGAAGUGUGAGCGCUGAGCCUGUCAGAAGCUGAGGUUUCUUUUUUGCACCUCGCCAUGCCGAAUACCUGAACAUUUUUUUUUUUUUUUUUGCAAACGGAACAGUGUACGCUCUCUGUUACCGAUGGUGGAGGAGGGGAGUCUUUCUUUCCCCCCUUCAUACUUGUCUGAUGCCAUUCAGGGUCGCCCCAUCUGGGAUACUAUAGAACGCUGUGCUCCCUCUCCUCAGUGUGCUCUUUGUUCACCGUUACUCCAGAAGACGCACGAAGACAAGUCACACGAAGUAAGAGCAUUCCAGGCUUGGAUGGCUGUGUAGGCCAGAGCUUUCAUGACUUCAAAGGAAAAGUUGAUCCUUACUGGGUGCUGCAGCACAGAGUCCUAGAAACAAACAAACAAACAAACAAAAGACUGAGUGGCUGCCUCCUCUUCAGUGAGAUUCCAUUAACCUUAAUACCAACCUAAGUAACAAUGACAGCAGCAAAAGAAUUUGUGGUCGCUUUAGCAAACAGACAAUGCAAAAGAGACAUUACUCUGAAGAGAACUGCUCCUCCGAAUCCUGAUCUAGAAAGCCCUCACAGGACAGGUUAAGCCUUCCUUUGGGUGAGAGACUCUCCUAUUGGAACUGAUAAAAUACUCAGUCAUGUUGGAGAAGUCCGUGUGGAAGAAACUAAAACGCCUUAAGAAUUGUGACUGGCUUCUUAGACUUAGGCUAUGGCCUCCAAUGGACAGAUAGCAAAGCAAGAAAAAAAUCCACGAGAAACAGACCUUCACCAACAACCUGCGCGAGCACCAGCCAAGCCCGCAGAAGAAAUGACUGCAGUCUGAUGCACUGGGGCGACGUCCCAGCUAAGGUUUGCCACGCUUGGACUUCAAACCUACAGAGUGAGGUUGAUGUUAUCUCAAGUGGCUUCACUUGGCAAUUCUUUGUUUCACAACAAUAAAGAAUGAGUACAUCUUCUAUAAGUUGUUUCUCCAUGUUUACAACCUGUCAUUUUUGUGGGAUUGCAUUGUCUUAAACUGGGGCACAAUGAGGUGAAAGGAGUGUCCCAUUGCCGUACACCGGUAAGAAAUGCAGCCAAGUUUUGAACCCAAGACUUCUGGCUCCAGAGUCUGUAAC
rnacentral:sRNA from 1 species